AAUCAUAAGAUAUAACAGAUAUUAUAUGACGUCUGAAAACAAUGUAAUAAUUAUUAUGCGUGAACAAUACGUCUGUAGUAUUACAGAAAAUUAACUACUUCACAUUUCUUUUAGGCGUGUAAACUGAGAUUUUGGUAUCUUGUAUCUUUUGUCAUAAGUUUUUGAUUUAUCUGCGAAAUCAUUACAAACAACUUAUUGUCAGAAGGGCUUUGGCCUCCUUACCGUGCGACAACAAAAAGUAAACCAUCAGGACAUUUAUUGCAGCUAUAUCUCUUAAGACAUUUGAAAGUUAAAUACUGACUGACUGAAUAAAAGACUAUAUGUGAUGGAAACACAUGAGAAGUACUGGAUUUUACUAUUGUUUAAUUGAAAAUUGAAAAGCGUUCGUUGUGGUGUACUGAGUAGACAAUGCACUUUCAAAUGACACCCAAAUAAUAGAAUCAACUUGCCUAUUUGUAAACUGGAUACCUAAAACGAUGUGAGUAGUUAAUUGUAAGAGUUGCAUGUGAACGAAUAAAAACAGAUUAAAUGCGACAUUCGAUAUAGGCAGCUGAUGUACAUUAAAGCAUCACAACUGUAACAAAUGACAUGCAGUAGAAGUUUGCACAAAAGAAUAUGUGGUUAGAAAUCAUCAUCACUCUCCUGCUUGGCGGGCUUUUCUAUAUACUAGUAGCUCAGCGAAACUCAAAACCUACCAAAAGAUUCAGGGUAACAAACAGUAAAAGGGAUAGAACAGUACUUUUGAAGUACACUUCCUUUGAAUCUUUCUCAGC